AUGCCGGCACCAGCACCACCACUGUGUAAACACCACUCCCAAAUACCACGCUGUUGCCGUCCCCGCGGGCUGACUCAUCAUCGGCGAGCCUCGGGGAUGUCUGCGCGCUCCCCGCUCCCACGUCCUUCCUCCUACCAACUCCUUCCCUGAGCAUCACACAGCCUCCCCUUCGCCUCCCCCCGCCUCCCCAUCUCACACCCCGUCGUCUUCUCUCGCUUGGGGACAAAACAUCCCUCAAGGGACGCUUGGGAGAAUGAGAUGAUGAAGAGUUCUUGGCGCGGUGCGUGAUUCGUCGCAGGAUCCAGUCCGGGUGUUCGAGACAACCUUCGCGAGGCGAAUCCAAUAACCUGGACCGAUAUAUCUCACCACGUCUGGCAGUUCACCAGAAUCGGUUUAAGGGGCGAUCCAGACCCACGGACGCUCCCUUCACACCGGAGCAGGCAGACCGAUGCACCCGAUUCAAGAGCCGAAUGGCUCACAGGGCUAUACCAAAUACAUGAAACUGAAAUACGGGGAUCAUGUGUAUCAGACAGGGACCCGUGUAUCAGACAAGGACCCCGUGUAUCAGACAGGGGACCCGUGUAUCAGACAGGGACCCCGUGUAUCUGACAGGGACCCCGUGUAUCAGACAGGGACCCCGUGUAUCCGACCCAUAAACCAGAUCUCUGCGGGGUAGUGGAUCAGCGCUCCCGUCAUGCCCCUAGUCAGUACCCCCCACCCCCUCCCCCCGAGGAAGCUGACGAUCCAAGCAUUCCCGGUCUGCAGCGAAGCCUACGCGAAAUAAAUAAAUGCGUGCAAAGACCUGGCCAUGAUGGGUCAAGUGAUCGGGAUCCCUUUGAUGGUGAUGGUGAUCAAUCUCGUUCGCGUGCACCCUUCACGUACAUCCGUAAGAUUAUUUAAACCCUUCUAAUAAGCCCCUCGAACAGACCCCCCCUCCCCCCCGCCUCCGAUCAGUACCAACCAACUUACACGAACGAGGUUUGGUACCGGGGUGGAGCGGUGGCGCAGCGGUUAGCACGCUGCGUUAUGGACACCAACGAAUUCAGGUUGAUUACCUGUGUCGGCUGUGUCCUAGAGAGGCGUCCCCGCCCCCUCUCCUCCCGCCAUCACCAACACCACGGGCUGACCGGCGAGGUGAAGUAUGGUCCAACAAGCCCCAGUGAUCAAUAAGGGCGCAGGAGGGCUUCAUUCAACCGCCAGUGCCUUGACGAAGCGUUGUAAAAUCGUAAUUAUAUACUUGUUUGAUUAUUUAUCCGUGGGUCAUUACCACUAAUUGCCAAAGCGCACCGACUGCUGUGAAUUGGGGCGUUAAUGGCCACGUGAUAAGUGAAUUAGGGCGUUCAUGACCACGUGAUAAGUGAAUUAGGGCUUUAAUUACCACGUGAUAUAUGCUUUAUCGGGAGUAAGCCAUGACGUCCCGCGCACCACAUUAAAUGCCACAGUUUGAUACGAACGAAGUGAAAUAUGUCUGCACGUGUUGGAAAUAGUAUUGUGUGAGCGUGUGUGUGUGUGAGUGUGUUUGUGUGUUCGUGUGUGUGUGUGAGCGUGUGUGUGAGCGUGUGU